rnacentral:rRNA from 1 species
GGUCAUUAGAGGAAGUAAAAGUCGUCACAAGGUCUCCGUAGGUGAACCUGCGGAGGGAUCAUUACAAGUGACCCCGGUCUAACCACCGGGAUGUUCAUAACCCUUUGUUGUCCGACUCUGUUGCCUCCGGGGCGACCCUGCCUUCGGGCGGGGGCUCCGGGUGGACACUUCAAACUCUUGCGUAACUUUGCAGUCUGAGUAAACUUAAUUAAUAAAUUAAAACUUUUAACAACGGAUCUCUUGGUUCUGGCAUCGAUGAAGAACGCAGCGAAAUGCGAUAAGUAAUGUGAAUUGCAGAAUUCAGUGAAUCAUCGAAUCUUUGAACGCACAUUGCGCCCCCUGGUAUUCCGGGGGGCAUGCCUGUUCGAGCGUCAUUUCACCACUCAAGCCUCGCUUGGUAUUGGGCAACGCGGUCCGCCGCGUGCCUCAAAUCGACCGGCUGGGUCUUCUGUCCCCUAAGCGUUGUGGAAACUAUUCGCUAAAGGGUGUUCGGGAGGCUACGCCGUAAAACAACCCCAUUUCUAAGGUUGACCUCGGAUCAGGUAGGGAUACCCGCUGAACUAAGCAUAUCAAUAAGC